GAGACAGUCAACAACACAAAAGCAUGAGAUGCUCUGCAGCAACAGUUCUCCAGGGCUGAGAUCAAGUCCUGUCUCCUCUCUAAUCCAACGCCCGUCAUUCGCACUGACAGAAGUGAACCUUCAGAAUCCAAGAGUCAUUCGCCAGAAAUGUUACAAGAGCAAAGUGUAGGAGUCUCUCACUCUGAAAACAAACAAGAACCUUUCCAGAGAGUUUGAUCAUCUUUUAAGAUUCGGUCCACACCAUCAUCCGCCCAUUUUCAGGAGAAGAAAAGUAAAUAAAGGAGGGAUACUUCACCCUGAAGCAAACAGAGAAGAGCAGCCAGCCUCCCGCGGAAGCUCUUCACAGUCUCCCAGGGAUUUCCAGUCAUGGCCAACAUCUUUGUUACAGGACGGAAUCCAGCAACCACUCGCAACCUUAGCAUAAAGCAGUAGCCAAGUCUUACGGGCUAGUUACGAAUAUCAGAUGUGCGGUGACUAUCCACGGGCUUAGAGUGAGUUGGGCAUAUUUAAGUUAUGAAAGAUGUGUUUAUUUCCCCUGGACCCCAAAUAAAUGUCAGCGACAGCUCCAA
rnacentral:lncRNA from 1 species